rnacentral:rRNA from 1 species
UACGUAGGUGACCAGCGUUGUCCCGGAUUUACUGGGCGUAAAGAGCGCGCAGGCGGUCGUUCAAGUCGAGUGUGAAAGCCCCCGGCUCAACUGGGGAGGGUCAUUCGAUACUGAUCGACUGGAAGGCAGGAGAGGUGAGUGGAAUUCCUAGUGUAGAGGUGAAAUUCGUAGAUAUUAGGAAGAACACCAGUGGCGAAGGCGGCUCACUGGCCCGGUACUGACGCUGAGGCGCGAAAGCGUGGGGAGCAAACAGGAUUAGAAC